UAUAAAUAUAUAACCAUAGCUAGGUGUGUCAAGUUGUCCUCUCCAUCUUAUAUCAGCCUUGUCUGUAAGGACUAAUUCCCCAUAAUUACUUGAGAACCUCAUAAAUUGUGGUUCUUUUUUGUUUGUUUUUAGAGGCAGGCUCUCACACUGUUCCACAGCUUAAAGUACAGUUGUGUGAUCAUAGCUCACUGUAAUUGUGAGCUCCGGACUCACGUAAUCUUCCCGUAUUAGCCUCCUGAGUAUCUAGAAUUUUCAUAGAAAUAGCGUCUCUUUAUGUUUCCCAGGUUGGCUUCGAUUUCCUGGUCUCAUGGGCCUCCAUGGUUAGAUAAUAUUUUAAACUAGAUUGAGCUAUAGUGGUUGCUGUAUUGAAUCACUAUAUUUUUUUAGUUUCAUGUUAGCUUUUUGUGUGUUAGCA
rnacentral:lncRNA from 1 species